CCGAACGCACAAAAUAACGACAUGUAAUACAAGUAUCGCGCAUCGGUUAAUAUGCCGCCGUAUAUAUGUGCUACAGCUAUAUGUCUGUGAUGUGUAUACUACUAUUGUAAUAUAGACGUCGCGGAGUAGAUAUACGCGCCCAAGUAUAUUGUGUUCUGUAUACUAUGGGUGAUUCACCCGCAGUUAAUCUGGUCGGUGAUUUUUGGUUUUUGUCUCCUCGCGAACCCCGCCGAUGUACAGUCGUCCGAGAUCGUUCGCCCAUACUCGUCAGCGCGCACUCGGCCACGUUUCGAGGUUUUAUUAUGUGAUCUGCCGGUGCGAGAUGAUGGCGAUGUGAUAGUUCAUAGAACAAAACCAAAAAAGCCCGGGAAAAUCGUUAUGUCGUAGAAAAAAAAAAGAAUUUAUUAUAUCUCGGGAAUAAAUUCUCGUAUUUUUAUGUCGUCGCGUAUCAUCAGCUGAGUAAUACUUGACAUAAUGUUAAAUCUGAUAUACCUUCUUUUUGUUCGGGCACGUAGCGGACGAUAGUAUGCUGCAGGACUGUUCAAAAUGACUCAUCCGAUGUCUUGCACCUGGUCUCCUAGGUCAUUUGAUCUUACACCACAUAUGACCCCACUUCUUCGCCGUUAUCAUCGUCAACCGUAGACUUAGCUAAAAAUUAAUGAAGUCAAGUCGAUUACAACGGAUACGCGUGGAAUAUGAAUUCGAGAUCCGACUAGAUGUCAUUCGUGAUGUUACCCGCAACGGAAGCCAUAUAACUCUACAUUUAUAGGUGCUAUUAGAUCAAUUUGAAAUGUCAUUCCUUCAUAUACUUAAUGUAUCGUGUUAUAUUACUCUAUACCCGAAAACUAAAAAUAAAUAAUAUAGUAUUUGAAAGCA